UAGGGAAUCUUCGGCAAUGGGGGGAACCCUGACCGAGCAACGCCGCGUGAGUGAAGAAGGUUUUCGGAUCGUAAAGCUCUGUUGUUAAGGAAGAACGAGUGUGAGAAUGGAAAGUUCAUGCUGUGACGGUACUUAACCAGAAAGGGACGGCUAACUACGUGCCAGCAGCCGCGGUAAUACGUAGGUCCCGAGCGUUGUCCGGAUUUAUUGGGCGUAAAGCGAGCGCAGGCGGUUAGAAAAGUCUGAAGUGAAAGGCAGUGGCUCAACCAUUGUAGGCUUUGGAAACUGUUGAACUGGAGUGCAGAAGGGGAGGGUGGAAUUCCAUGUGUAGCGGUGAAAUGCGUAGAUAUAUGGAGGAACACCGGUGGCGAAAGCGGCUCUCUGGUCUGUAACUGACGCUGAGGCUCGAAAGCGUGGGGGGCGAACAGA
rnacentral:rRNA from 1 species